rnacentral:rRNA from 1 species
AACGAACGCUGGCGGCGUGCCUAACACAUGCAAGUCGAGCGCGAAAAGGGCAACCUGAGUAGAGCGGCGCACGGGUGCGUAACACGUGGGUAAUCUGCCUUAGAGUCGAGGAUAACCUUCCGAAAGGUUGGCUAAUACUCGGUAAGCUUACGGUGUCUUCGGACGCUGUGGGAAAAGUAGGCCUCUGUUUACAAGCUUACGCUACAAGAUGAGCCCGCGGCCCAUCAGCUAGUUGGCGGGGUAACGGCCCACCAAGGCAACGACGGGUAGCUGGUCUGAGAGGACGAUCAGCCACACUGGAACUGAGACACGGUCCAGACUCCUACGGGAGGCAGCAGUGGGGAAUUUUCCACAAUGGGCGAAAGCCUGAUGGAGCAACGCCGCGUGUGUGAUGAAGGUUUUCGGAUCGUAAAGCACUUUCGACCGGGACGAAAAACCUCUGGCUAACAUCCAGGGGCCUGACGGUACCGGGAGAAGAAGCACCGGCUAACUCUGUGCCAGCCGCCGCUGUAAUAC